AUAUGGGAGACGUCCCUAGAUCCCUCUUUGGUAGAGGUUGCCUUUGGUAGGUUGUAAAACAGAUUUCCAGUCUUUGGUGGACUGUGGUAUUUAUUUAACGUAGAUGUAAAUGUUGCAGACUAAAAUGGUUUUAAAAAAAAAAAAAGGGGGUUAAAAGGUAUGAUGGAUGUUUGGCAUUACUCCGGCUUGCUAAUUUAUGUGCUAUUUUAUGAUGUGCAACGCUGAUUUUAAGUAUAAAGUCUUAAUUGAGGGAAUGUCAAAAGUACAUGUAAAGGUAAUGAUGAAUAAGACAAAAAUUAGAGGUUAUUUAAGGGGGGCUACAAAUUCUAGAACUAACAUGAUUUCUCUGCAUGUAUGUUUGUUUGUUUGCAUAAUGAGCCCUUUAUUUUUAUACUUGGACAAAAGUACUAUAAGCCCACUACACUUUUUCAUGAGAGUGGGAUGUAUGAUUGUUUAUAUGAUGAGCCCUUUAUUUUCAUAUUGGGACAAAAAGUCACUUCAUUCAAAACGUCAAACACCACAUUCUUUCUGCCCUGUGUGUUUGUUGCAGAGAAUUUAUGUUGUAAAUUUAGAAGAAAGCAAAAUUUAUAUUUUCAGCGUUCCAACACAUGCUUCAUUUUGUGCUGUAAGCUAACUUGUAGUAUUCCAGUACGUCACAUGUUGUAUGUGCUUUAAAUUGUAUGUAUUCUGUAAAUUGUUGUAUGGGGAUGCUGAGAUUUUAUUGCUUGCGACCCAAACUGUGAAGAAGUGGGUUUGAAAUUUUGGUCAUGAAAUGUAGGAUCAGAAAACCAUGGACAAAGGUUUUAACCUGUGUUGAUAUGACUUUUGGAAACUCAAAUUGACCGGUCAAAAUUUUGCCAUGACUUUAACAUGGAGUAGUAUAAAUAUUUUGAGUCUUUGAGAGUUCUGACAAAUGCAGGUGAUACCAUGUCUGUGUAAUCUGGUCCAAAUGUUCUAUAAGCGUAUAAGAGAGAAAUUCCAUUGACAGGUUUCAUAUGUCGCAACUGGUUAAUGCAAGUGUUAUACAAAUGUUUAAGUCAAACGCGUUAUAUGGUCGUAUGGGAUCCCUUCUUUAAAAAUAAAAAAUAAACCCUUUGGUACCAGAAAUCUUAAAUAAAUCUGAUACAAACUAAAAUUGGUAUACCUUACAAUAAUAUGUUCUGAAUACAGCUGUUAGAAGUUUAUUCUGUGUGAAUGAUGAUUGUCAUAAAUGUUUGUUUUGGUUACUCAUUUUGAAGUGCGCAGUUUAAUUGUCAUGUAUGUUAAUGGCUAUUUUGCUGUGUUAUUUUAAAUUAUAUUUGAAUAAGUUUGUCUUAGUAUUGAUACAGCUGGAAAUGGCAGCGUAAUAAUCUAUUAAAUAACUGAUUUAUUAUUGAAUACUAGUCCAAGAGCAAUAUGAGUUGUAGUCUUAAGAAAGAAAAAAAAAGAGGGAGUCUGUUUUUGUAAAUUUUAGCUGAUUUCCAAAAUUCUGUUGCAAUAAUGGACUUCCUGCCAAAAUUUGACUUUCCUGUCCAGUUGCCAGGUGCUCUGAUCUAACCUUAAAGUAGUACUGCUUGCAUUGUUUGCAGACAUGCAUAAUGCACAAACAUGAGAACCUAUAUUAUCUCUGUCACAGAGGGUGACAUUUAUUAAUUUAUUUUGGAUUGAGUUAAUUGCCUGUCCAUGAAUAUGCUUUUUGUAUUGGCAUGUCUGCUGGAUAUCUGCUACAUGUUUUCUGUGCUAUAAGAUGAUGUGUGAUAUUACAAUGAGUAUGAAGAAUAUUUAAAGAAUAUUUGCAUGUCAUUAACGCAAGCCUUUAGUGUCUUUUUACAACAGAUUAAAAAACGCUGAUCAGCCAACAAGAAAGGGGCCCCUGGGAAAGAAAAGGAAAAAAUAUAUCAUUUGCUUUUCAAAAUCGUGGAUCCACGUUUCAGUAUUAUUAGGGGAGUAUUUAGAGUUAACGCUACUUUUAAAGUGCAUU